GAGAGUUUGAACCUGGCUCAGAUUGAACGCUGGCGGCAGGCCUAACACAUGCAAGUCGAGCGGAAACGACUUAAYUGAACCUUCGGGGGAYKUUMWGGGCGUCGAGCGGCGGACGGGUGAGUAAUGCUUAGGAAUUUGCCCAGUCGAGGGGGAUAACCAUUGGAAACGAUGGCUAAUACCGCAUACGCCCUACGGGGGAAAGAGGGGGAUGCUUUUGCACCUUUCGCGAUUGGAUAAGCCUAAGUGAGAUUAGCUAGUUGGUGAGGUAAAGGCUCACCAAGGCGACGAUCUCUAGCUGGUUUGAGAGGAUGAUCAGCCACACUGGAACUGAGACACGGUCCAGACUCCUACGGGAGGCAGCAGUGGGGAAUAUUGCACAAUGGGCGCAAGCCUGAUGCAGCCAUGCCGCGUGUAUGAAGAAGGCCUUCGGGUUGUAAAGUACUUUCAGCGAGGAGGAAAGGGUGUGAGUUAAUACCUUACAUCUGUGACGUUACUCGCAGAAGAAGCACCGGCUAACUCCGUGCCAGCAGCCGCGGUAAUACGGAGGGUGCGAGCGUUAAUCGGAAUUACUGGGCGUAAAGCGCAUGCAGGCGGUUUGUUAAGCGAGAUGUGAAAGCCCCGGGCUCAACCUGGGAACUGCAUUUCGAACUGGCAAACUAGAGUCUUGUAGAGGGAGGUAGAAUUUCAGGUGUAGCGGUGAAAUGCGUAGAGAUCUGA
rnacentral:rRNA from 2 species